AUACUUACCUGGACAGGGUCGAUGGGCGAUCAAGAAGGUUAGUGACCUCCAUUGCACUCAGGAGGGGUGCUGGCCUAAGAUAUCCCCAAGUGGGAUAGUCUACGUCAUAAUUUGUUGCCGAGGGGGUACGCGUUUGUGCGGCCCUUG